UACGUAGGCAGCGAGCGUUGUUCGGAGUUACUGGGCGUAAAGGGUGUGUAGGCGGUUCUUUAAGUUUGGUGUGAAAUCUCCCGGCUCAACCGGGAGGGUGCGCCGAAUACUGAGGGACUAGAGUACGGGAGAGGAAAGUGGAAUUCCUGGUGUAGCGGUGAAAUGCGUAGAUAUCAGGAGGAACACCGGUGGUGUAGACGGCUUUCUGGACCGUAACUGACGCUGAGACACGAAGCGUGGGUAGCAAACAGG
rnacentral:rRNA from 1 species